CCAAUAUGGAUACCCCAGAAGGUCACUUUCUCUGGGCUCUGUUCAAGUGAUGUAGGGGAGCAUAAGACUCUACCUCAUGACGUACAGUCUCCUGCAUCACUGGAGAUGAAGCUGGGUGUUGUGUCUGCACCUGCAUAUUCCUACAACUCCUCAGAGUCCACUGGACAGUAACUGAGAAGCUGUGUAGGAAACAAUG
ensembl:snoRNA SNORA73 Small nucleolar RNA SNORA73 family